GACGAACGCUGGCGGCGUGCUUAACACAUGCAAGUCGAACGGAAAGGCCCUGCUUUUGUGGGGUGCUCGAGUGGCGAACGGGUGAGUAACACAUGAGUAACCUGCCCUUGACUUUGGGAUAACUUCAGGAAACUGGGGCUAAUACCGGAUAGGAGCUCCUGCUGCAUGGUGGGGGUUGGAAAGUUUCGGCGGUUGGGGAUAGACUCGCGGCUUAUCAGCUUGUUGGUGGGGUAGUGGCUUACCAAGGCUUUGACGGGUAGCCGGCCUGAGAGGGUGACCGGCCACAUUGGGACUGAGAUACGGCCCAGACUCCUACGGGAGGCAGCAGUGGGGAAUAUUGCACAAUGGGCGGAAGCCUGAUGCAGCAACGCCGCGUGCGGGAUGACGGCCUUCGGGUUGUAAACCGCUUUCGCCUGUGACGAAGCGUGAGUGACGGUAAUGGGUAAAGAAGCACCGGCUAACUACGUG
rnacentral:rRNA from 1 species